rnacentral:rRNA from 1 species
UACGUAGGGCGCAAGCGUUAUCCGGAAUUAUUGGGCGUAAAGCGCUCGUAGGCGGCUUGUCGCGUCUGCCGUGAAAGUCCGGGGCUCAACUCCGGAUCUGCGGUGGGUACGGGCAGACUAGAGUGAUGUAGGGGAGACUGGAAUUCCUGGUGUAGCGGUGAAAUGCGCAGAUAUCAGGAGGAACACCGAUGGCGAAGGCAGGUCUCUGGGCAUUAACUGACGCUGAGGAGCGAAAGCAUGGGGAGCGAACAGG